rnacentral:rRNA from 1 species
UGGGGGAUAUUGCACAAUGGGCGAAAGCCUGAUGCAGCGACGCCGCGUGAGGGAAGACGGCCUUCGGGUUGUGAAACCUCUGUCUUUGGGGACGAUAAUGACGGUACCAAGGAGGAAGCUCCGGCUAACUACGUGCCAGCAGCCGCGGUAAUACGUAGGGAGCGAGCGUUGUCCGGAAUUACUGGGUGUAAAGGGAGCGUAGGCGGGAAUGCAAGUUGGAUGUGAAAAACUCCGGGCUUAACCCGGAGACUGCAUUCAAAACUGUAUUUCUUGAGUGAUGUAGAGGCAGGCGGAAUUCCUAGUGUAGCGGUGAAAUGCGUAGAUAUUAGGAGGAACACCAGUGGCGAAGGCGGCCUGCUGGGCAUUUACUGACGCUGAGGCUCGAAAGUGUGGGGAGCAAACAGGAUUAGAUACCC